rnacentral:rRNA from 1 species
UACGUAGGUCGCAAGCGUUAUCCGGACUUAUUGGGCGUAAAGCGCGUGUAGGCGGUUUAGUAAGUCUGAUGUGAAAAUGCGGGGCUCAACCCCGUAUUGCGUUGGAAACUGCUAAACUAGAGUACUGGAGAGGUAGGCGGAAUUACAAGUGUAGAGGUGAAAUUCGUAGAUAUUUGUAGGAAUGCCGAUGGGGAAGGCAGCCUACUGGGCAGAUACUGACGCUGAAGCGCGAAAGCGUGGGGAGCAAACAGG